AAUACUGACCCAGCCAAGCCCAGGAACUAGCUGCAACUCUCAGUGAAGUGAACAGGAGCUGUGUGGCUAAGUUGUGGGAUGUUCGAAAGUGGAGGAGAGGAUGUUCUAAGGACACACUUCCAAAUGAAAUUCACCCCUGUGCAGAAGAUGGCAAGACUCAGGCAUAGGAAGAUUCAGUGUCACACAAGAAAGAGAAGUCCCAUAGGUAUCAGAGCUUCCGCCUCAAAACAGGGUGUGAGGAGGAAAUAAGUGAACCGACUCAAUGCAGUAUUAAACGAUGUCUAAAGCAGCAUUGCUACAAUAACAGCCUUAUAUAAGCAGCUAAGUGAAAUGGAUUAUGCAUCUCUGAUUGUAAGAUAUACAUGCAGGCAGGGGAAGAGCUGUGGCUAGUGUGGGACCUGUGACAAAGUUCCUCCUCUACCUUGGACCUUGCCAAUGAGAGGAAAUGGGGGAAAGGCGUUGAGGAGUUGACCCAACCAUGACAGAAGGAAGGCAUCUGAGAUCGCAUUCCUCCCCACCCCAACCGCCGGAACAGAACCUGUGGCAAUGGCGGUUCUGUCGGGUCACAAACAGGUCUACUUGGGGAGUGCCCCAUGCUCGGAAGAGCUGGUCCUUGCCGUCAAAGGGGAGAUCCUGCAUCACAGAUUGCGCCUCCGCAGAGAGCCCAGACAGCGGUAGCCACAAUGCCCUGCACACAGACACGGCCGAAGCCAUGGACCGGCAUCCGACGCCUCCUGCAGAGCAGCCUUUGCAGUGGUGCCCUCCUCCACCAGCACCUUAAAAUCCUUCCGUUCGCAUUCCGGGGGGGGAGGGCUCGAAUUUUCGGCAGUGACCCCCACAAGUUAAACUCGUAAUGACUAAGGAGGGCCUGGUGGAUGGCCACCCGGAGCUGGAAGGUGGCGGACAAAUAAAGCUUCCUG